UAAAAUAAAAAUAAAAAGAAGAAGAAGAAGAUAAGAAAUAAACGUAAUACGAAUAAUAGGAUCACGCAAGGGUUGACGCAAGGUUGUCCAGGUUCAUGAAAACGAAUCGCUUACUCGCAAUGGGAUCCUUCGAUGUCGCUCUGAAUUACAGAGAAAGGAUUUACGCGACGAUCGUGAUUCGAGGAGGUAUGCAUGAACGAUCUUGGGUAGUAGGAACCGAGAACCAAGAUUCUUCUCUCUUUUCUCUUCCCUCUUUCUCUAUCACUCUCUUUUCGGUCGCUCCAGCAAAUCGUCUUAAUUUUAACAAAUUGUAAACAACACCCAAGCAACACUCCGUUUCAGUACUUUGGGGGAUAACGUAAUCCGCCGACGACGACGACGACGACGACGACGGAAGCAAUCUCCUUCUUCCUUUUCUCUCUUUAUCUCUCUUGCCUGCGUAUCGUUUAUAUCCUACCUAAUACGAAGUUAGUAUGUGUUUGUCUGUGUGUCAAAGAGAGAGAGAGAGAGAGAGAAAGAGAGAAAGUAGAAGUGUAGCGUCGUUCUAACAACUCUCUUAGUCUCUCCGUACAUUUUCUCUCACUCUCUCUCUCUCUCACACACACACUCGUCCUUCUAUCUUUCUCCCUCAUUCGGUAGAAGCACCGAUGUGUGUGGAAAGUUUGUGAGUUUGCGUAGUUAGCGUUACUUGUGCAUUAAUUGAGGAUUACAACAGCAACGAGAUAUGAGGCGGGACGUUAGUAGGUGGGCUCCACGAUAUCCAGGUGAAACGAACGGGGAUUGGAGAGCGAAACAUGGAGUGUGUGUGUGUGUGUCAGAAAGAGAGAAAGAGAGAGAGAGAGAGAGAACAGAUAGAAUGAGAUGGUCGACAAGCACCAGUACAAGCUCAGACGGCGGGCUUCGAGUCUCAAGCACACGGUAACUUUCCUAAUCACCGUAGGAAGCCUCGAGGUAGUCAUCCCCUCAGCCAUCAUACGAUCCAAGUAUGAUAGACACGAAAGCUCGAUUAGAGACGCCGAAAUCGCAUGCAACCUUUUGCGAUAUAUGUUCCAGAUGGAAAUACCAAUGAACGAAAUUGUCCUGUCUUCGUAUUCGUUGUCCGAUUCUACACGAGAGAGAGAGAGAGGAUCUUACUGAAGAGGGAAACCGAACUACAAAGAUCUCGCCGAACGAUUUUCAAAGGAGAUAUGAUCGUCUCGAAUUGCUUCGAGUACAAGAAGAACACUCGAGGUCAACCGUCAAAAACAUUCGACCUGUAGACGGGGAUCCUUCUACUUGUAUUGUCCUCUCUUACGUUAAAGAACAUUCUUCCUUAAAGCACUCGCGGUCCUAUUUUAUAGAUGAUUAGUGGGCUUUUGUUAUGUUAUUAUGGACUAAAUUCUAUGUUCUAUCUCUGUUCGAGUGAGAAAUUCAUUCGGUAUGAUAGAUUAUAUCAUAUAACACGAAACGAAAGAAAAUUCUUUAUUAAUUUUGGCCAUUUUAUUUUCAAUACUUUUAUUUUUUUUGAAUAUUAAAUUACGUUUAAUUAUGAGUGUAGGAGGAUCGUGUUUUAAAUGAUUAAAUAAUUUUUCUUUUUUUUUUUUUUUUUGUAUAUAAUUAUCUUGGCAUCGUAUAAAAUAACGUCGAUAUUAUUGAAAUCUAUUUUAUUUAUUUUUAAAUCUAAUUAAGAUUUUUAUUUUAUUCAUAUUUUAUAAAUGAGAAUAAAAAAAGAUUCUGUUAUAUUUAUAUUAGGUUUAAUUUAAAAUAUUUCAUAAGCUUAAUAUAACCGUGUUAGCGAUAAAAUCUUCGUUAUUUAAUCCGGAAUUAUGAUCGCUAAUAGAUCGCGAGACGAAAUUAACCUAAGUAAUUCCGUUUUGGGUCGAUUAGGAAAACGGCUGCUGACUCUUACGUUUUAUAUACGUUAUAUACCGUCCUCGAAGUUUUUCUUAACGUUGGCAAGAUAAAUGAUCAUAAAAUGAUCUUUUAUACUUGUCUGAAUAUUCGUAAGUAUACUCUUCCUUGAAUGAAGAAGAUAGAACCGAUUCGACGAACGUAAUUUCUUUAAAAGUCCAAUGACGAUACGAUUGUGCGUUUGACACAAUGAAAAGUUUCGUGAAUUCAUUCGAAAUAUUUACAUAUUUCCUAGUAAUAUUUUUAACAAAAUCGCACAAAAAUCAUGAUUGUUAAAAAAUACAUAUUCUCUAAAAUGAAUAAACCCAAAUUGAUGUAUUAUAUAUCAAAUACAAUAUCUAUUAUUUUCAUCAAAUUACGAAUAUCUACGUGAUAACAAAUUUAUUCAUUUGUUAUUUUAAAUAUUACAUUAAAGUAUAAUACAAAAAUAUAAUAUUAAUGAUCGAUUAAUAAAACAAAAGUAGAAAUCAAAAGAAACUUGUAUUUGUGUGUAAGAAACUAAUCUAUCAUCUUUAAGCUCAAACAAAAAUCGUUCUAGUUCGUGAUAAAUUUGACAUAGCAGCGGCAUGGAAGGAGAUGGAUAGAUAGCAUGAAAGAAGUAAAAAAGAAAAGAAAAAAAAUGAGAAAGAUAGGCGAAGGGGAAGAAGCGGUCUCCGUGGAACUGAAUUUAGAACGACGAAAGAGCUACUCUUGUCUCAAGGAAAAUGAAAUUCUGGCCUCCGUUAUCGGGUUCACCACGAAAAAGGAUUUUAAGUGCAGCAAAGUGAACGUACUAGGACGGAAGGCAUUAUCCGGGUGACAAUACACCCUAUGAAAUACAACGGAAAAAGCUCGUUCGUUUCGGUCGAACGAACGAAUGAACGAACGAAGGAACGAAGGAACCAAGGAAUGAAGGGACGAAGGAAGGAACGAAGGAACAAACGGACCGUCGACGGAUGGAAGUUAAUCCUUCGCGCGAAAAGCAAAAGGCAGAACCCGACCGUCUGCUCUUCAGAGUUUCAUGGAGCUUUGGCUUAGACGGUUAACGACGAUGAAAAACGAAAAAAAAAAAAAAAAACGGGAAGAAAAAAGGAAAAGUGAAAAAAGAAAGAAAGAAAAAAAAAAGAUAAAAGAAAGGAAGGAAGGAAGGGCCAGGGGGGACGACCGAAAGAACCUCUUUCUCCCCCAUUUGACUGUUAAAUGUGUCCUCCCGAAACAAGGGUAACGUUCACAAAAUUUCUUUUAACUCUUUUCUGUUUUCUUUUUUCUUUUUUUCUUUCUUUCUUUUUAACUCUUACGUAUUAGCAAUUCGCUUUCAUCGUUAGAUCCUUUGUACUAACUGGCAAUUGUUUGCUUUAUUUUUCUUUUUUUUUUCCUUUCUUUCUUUCUAUUCAUUUUUUAUUUUAUUCACUUUGUCUCGGAUUUUAUUUAUAAUUCGAGAUCCCCACCCCACCUCACCCCCCUUCGUGCGAUGAUGAUGAUGAUCGAAAGUUUAUUUAUACGAAAAUAUUCUAGAAUAAUAUGAGCUACGCGAAAUAUAUUCGUUCAUUUGAUAUAAAGUUCGUUUUUAGUCGUAAGUACUACUUCAAAGGAUAAUUGGCAUUUCUCUUUUCGUAUACGCAAACGAGACUUGGAUUAUUUCAACGGGUGAUCUAUUUUCCUUUUUUUUUCCUUUUUCGUUUAUUAUUAUUUUUUUAGCUUUUUUUUUUUCCUUUUGUAUCUUUGCUUUUCUUUUCUUUUCUUUUGUGUUAUUCGAAAUCUCGAGCUUUGUCAAAAAGUGAACGAAGUACCGACGACGACGACGACGACGACGACGACGUUUGUGUCGGUCGCUCGUUUUCUGUGGAAAAAUAUGUAUCUGGAUCUUCGAUGGUACUUCUGACGAAAAAGAAAAAGAAAAAGAGAAAGAGAAAAUAGAAAAAAGAAAAAUAUGAAGAAAAAAAAAACAGAAAAGAAAAGAAUAGAAAAGAAAAGAAAAAAAAAACCAUGAGAAAGGAAGGAACAUAAAGCACGACGAUAGCGUCUGAACUGAACCUCGUUCGACCUUGUUCGACCUCGUUCGCUUUGUUCACGUACAAAGGUUAAAAUCUGUGCUGGAAUGCACGGAGUCUUGUUGCAUAUUAAAAUACACACCAGACGAAUCCUAUAUAAAGUAUAUAAUAUAUGUAUCUACGUAUGUAUUCUUCUAUAUACAUACAAUUCACAUAUAAAUGCAUACUUCUGUAUAUAUCUUUUAUAUAUUGUACGAUAUAAAGCGGCCGCGUACACACAAAUAUCGAUCGGAUCUCGUCUCUCGUGUUUGCAAGUCGAAUUCAAUCUUUCCUCUCGUUACACGAAUUUAAUACACAUACACACUAACACGUGCAUACACACAAACUCGCAUACGCGAACGAAAGAAACAAAAGUUAUUUUUUUUAUAAGAUCAAAGUUCAACGAUUCUUCGUAAUAUUCUUUAAAUCGAAUUUACAAUUUUAUUGCAAAA